GACGAACGCUGGCGGCGUGCUUAACACAUGCAAGUCGAACGAUGAAGCCCAGCUUGCUGGGUGGAUUAGUGGCGAACGGGUGAGUAACACGUGAGUAACCUGCCCUUAACUCUGGGAUAAGCCUGGGAAACUGGGUCUAAUACCGGAUAGGAGCGUCCACCGCAUGGUGGGUGUUGGAAAGAUUUAUCGUUUUUGGAUGGACUCGCGGCCUAUCAGCUUGUUGGGGAGGUAAUGGCUCACCAAGGCGACGACGGGUAGCCGGCCUGAGAGGGUGACCGGCCACACUGGGACUGAGACACGGCCCAGACUCCUACGGGAGGCAGCAGUGGGGAAUAUUGCACAAUGGGCGCAAGCCUGAUGCAGCGACGCCGCGUGAGGGAUGACGGCCUUCGGGUUGUAAACCUCUUUCAGUAGGGAAGAAGCGAAAGUGACGGUACCUGCAGAAGAAGCACCGGCUAACUACGUG
rnacentral:rRNA from 1 species